rnacentral:rRNA from 1 species
GAUGAACGCUGGCGGCGUGCUUAACACAUGCAAGUCGAACGAAGCAUUUAGAACAGAUUACUUCGGUUUGAAGUUCUUUAUGACUGAGUGGCGGACGGGUUAGUAACGCGUGGGUAACCUGCCUUGUACUGGGGGAUAGCAGCUGGAAACGGCUGGUAAUACCGCAUAAGCGCACAAUGUUGCAUGACAUGGUGUGAAAAACUCCGGUGGUAUAAGAUGGACCCGCGUCUGAUUAGCUAGUUGGUGAGAUAACAGCCCACCAAGGCGACGAUCAGUAGCCGACCUGAGAGGGUGACCGGCCACAUUGGGACUGAGACACGGCCCAGACUCCUACGGGAGGCAGCAGUGGGGAAUAUUGCACAAUGGAGGAAACUCUGAUGCAGCGACGCCGCGUGAGUGAAGAAGUAAUUCGUUAUGUAAAGCUCUAUCAGCAGGGAAGAUAGUGACGGUACCUGACUAAGAAGCUCCGGCUAAAUACGUG